GUCCACGCAGUAAACGAUGAUUACUAGCUGUUUGCGAUACACAGUAAGCGGCACAGCGAAAGCGUUAAGUAAUCCACCUGGGGAGUACGCCGGCAACGGUGAAACUCAAAGGAAUUGACGGGGGCCCCGCACAAGCGGAGGAACAUGUGGUUUAAUUCGAUGAUACGCGAGGAACCUUACCCGGGUUUGAACGUAGGGAGACAGGAGUGGAAACAUUCUUUUCAGCAAUGACUGCCUACGAGGUGCUGCAUGGUUGUCGU
rnacentral:rRNA from 1 species